rnacentral:rRNA from 1 species
ACGUUAGCGGCGGACGGGUGAGUAACACGUGGGUAACCUACCUAUAAGACUGGGAUAACUUCGGGAAACCGGAGCUAAUACCGGAUAAUAUUUCGAACCGCAUGGUUCGAUAGUGAAAGAUGGUUUUGCUAUCACUUAUAGAUGGACCUGCGCCGUAUUAGCUAGUUGGUAAGGUAACGGCUUACCAAGGCGACGAUACGUAGCCGACCUGAGAGGGUGAUCGGCCACACUGGAACUGAGACACGGUCCAGACUCCUACGGGAGGAAGCAGGC